ACUUCAGUUAGCCUUGCAUUGUCAAAAUUAUAAGUUCACAGACUCGCAUCUUAUUGGUUAGUUGGGGGCCCACGUGUCAUUGUAAAAGUAAUUUUAUACUUUAGUUAUCUGAUUUAAAAUAUGUAUGAACAUAUUAAGCUUUUACACCAUGUUUUUGGCGAGUUUCGGUAUUAUCGAAGAAAAAUGACGAAAAUGCCUCUAUGAGCCAGAAAAUAAUAUUUUAUUGUUUUGAUUUGGAAACGACUUAUGAUUUCUUGAAAUGCAAGAUUUAAUAACUGUCGCUCACCGGGGA
rnacentral:lncRNA from 1 species